GUCUUACGAAAAUAAUCAGUUCACAGAAAGUCCGUUUGCUGAAUGGUAGUAUUUCGCUCUCCGUACAAGCGUUCAAGUGGUGCGAUUACUUAAUCAAAAUCUAGAUUAGUAACUUGCUGCACAAUGAAGAUUCUCCCUCACCAAUCAAGCCGAUAACUCCGAAGUUGAAACUAGGGAAGCUUUGAGCUACAAACCACACUCCUCGGUUCUGCUGAUCGAAAAGGAUGGUAAUAGCAAGAAUGUUAGGUUUUUCGUAGAUGGUGACGUGGUUGUUACGACACUCUGGAGCAACGACAACAUCAAGACAUUACAGAUAUAAAUUAAAGAUCCAAAUCUUAAUAUUAAGUAAAGGAAAGUACGUGCACCAGAUGGUUUUGUACCACACGCUUCCAAGUUGGAGAAGUUGUCCAAUAAACCUUAUCUC